GUACUGCAGGGAUUGACUCAAUUUACUAUUAAAUAUAAUUUAUCUUGGAGCAAUAAGUUGGCUGAUGCCUCAGAUUAACCAACUCUUCAUUCAUUAUAAAUACUCACACCUCAGAGUCACUCUUCUCUCUUCAUAUCAAUUCAUAGCUUCUUCUCUUCACUGCACUUCAAAUUUCAAUCUUCUUUAUCUUGUAAUGGCAACUUUCACUGAAGAGGAAUUUGAACAACUACUUCAUGAUUUCAAAGAUAAUACUCCCAGUGAUUUCAGACAAAAUUUGUAUAGCAAUAUGAAUCUCUUCAAAAUUGAGUUGCCACAACCUUCAAACUUUAACACAACUUCUUGUUCUAUGAACACUACUCAAACUCUGGAGGUAC
rnacentral:sRNA from 2 species